UGUGGGUCUACUUGUGGGGUUGUGGGCCACUUAUGGGGCUGGGGGGCCACUUGUGGGGCAGGGGACCACUUAUGGGGCUACUUGUGGGGCCACUUAUGCGGCCAGGGCUUACUUAUGGGGCAGGGGGCCACUUAUGGGGCUACUUGUGGGGCCACUUAUGCGGCCAGGGCCUACUUAUGGGGCAGGGGGCCACUUGUGGGGCAGCCCCUCACCCCGCCCCACGCCUGCCCGCCAGUUCCGCCUGUGCGCGAGGAGCCCGGCGUGCUGCCCCCCGAGGUGAGUCUGUGGGGCCGGGGGGGUCGCUAUGGGGCCGGGGGGGCGCCGUGGGGCUGCCCCACUGACGCCUCGUGCCCCCCCCAGGCCCCCCGGCGCCGCAAAGUCCCGCGGCUGCCCCACAGCGACCCCCAGCCCCAGAUCCCCCAGGCCGAGUUCCGGGCGCUGCUGCUGCAGCCCGAGGCGCACUGCCAGCCCCUGGUGAUCCCGGAGCCCCCCUCCCUGCGCCGCCUUCCCCCGGCCGAGCUCUUCCAGACCCCGACCAUCGGUGAGCGCCCCCCCCNNNNNNNNNNGGGGCCGUGCCCCACAGCUCCUGCCCCACAGGUGCCCCGCGAGGCACUGGAGCCCAGCCUGCCGGUGGUGCUGUCCUCGGGUGAGACCCCCUGUGGGGCGCUAUGGGGCAAUAUGGGGUGGCUGUGGGGUGAUGUGGGGCAGCUAUGGGGUGAUAUGGGGUGGCUAUGGGGCAAUAUGGGGUGGUGUGGGGUGCUAUGGGGGCAUAUGGGAUGGCUAUGGGGCACUAUGGGGCAGCUAUGGGUUGAUGUGGGGUGCUAUGGGGCUGGCUAUGGGGCACUAUAGGGGUGCUAUGGGGUCGCUAUGGGUCUGGAUAUGGGUCACUAUAGGGCGCUAUGGGGCAGUUAUGGGUCUCUAUGGGGUCUCUAUGGGUCGCUAUGGGGCAGUCAUGGGGCGCUAUGGAUAUCUAUGGGUCCCUAUAGGGCGCUAUGGGGCACUGUGGGGCAGUUAUGGGUCUCUAUGGGUCGCUGUGGGUCUCUGUGGGGCUGGCUCUAGGUCAAUAUAUGGUCUCUAUGGGGCACUAUGGGUCCCUAUGGGGUCGCUAUAGGGCAGUUAUGGGGCUGGGGGAUCCCUAUGGGGUGCUAUGGGGCUGGCUGUGGGUCCCUAUGGGUCCCUAUGGGUCCCUAUGGGUCCCUAUGGGUCGCUGUGGGUCUCACGGCCCCGCCCCCCAGAGGUGUCCCUGGAGGCCCCGGAGGAGGAGCCCCGGCCCCGGCCCCGCCCCCUGGCCCCGCCCGAGGAGCAGCGGUGAGUGACAGGCGGGGGGCGUGGCCAGCGGGGGGGGCGUGGCCAGAGGGGGGCGUGGCCUGCUCUGACCACGCCCCCUCCCCCCAGCCCCACGNNNNNNNNNNNNNNNNNNNNNNNNNNNNNNNNNCCUCCCCUCCCCUUUUAACCACGUGACCCCCAUGGUGACGUCACCGCCCUCUCCUCCAAUCGCAGGCUGCUGCUGGAGGGGGCGUGGCGGCCGGAAGGGGCGGAGCUUCUGGGGCUCCUCCCCCCGGCCCCGCCCCGCGCGCUGGUGGCCCGCCUCUUCCGGGUGGCGCUGGGUGAGUGGGCGGGGCCAAGCCUUAAAGGGGGCGUGGCCUCGUGCUAAGCCCCGCCCCCUAACGCUUGGCCCCGCCCCCCGCAGAACUCUGCGCCGCCGGUUGGCUGCGGCUGGCCCAGCCCCGCCCCUUCGCUCCCAUUGGGCUGCGCCCCGGGCCCCGCCCCCCCCCGCAGGAAUAAAAAAGGGGGCGUGGCCUCCGCGUGACUCCGCCCACUCUUGUCUUUUAUUGGUUGUUGGGUGAUGACGUCACCGAGGGGGCGGGGCCGAACAGGGCGUGGCGCAGGCGGGCGGCGUCGGGGGGCGGGAGCUGCGCCAAGGCCCCGCCCACCAGCUCCGGGCUCCGCCCCCAGGCCUGGCGCAGCAGCGAGGCCACGCCCACCUCCAGCCCUGGGGGCGGGGACAGCGAGGGAGGGACACGCCCCUUUUAGGCUCCGCCCACCCCGACCCUGCCCCAUAGAUCCCAGCCCCAUAGAUCCCGCCCC
rnacentral:lncRNA from 1 species